rnacentral:rRNA from 1 species
CCUACGGGCGGCUGCAGUGGGGAAUAUUGCACAAUGGGCGCAAGCCUGAUGCAGCCAUGCCGCGUGUGUGAAGAAGGCCUUCGGGUUGUAAAGCACUUUCAGCGGGGAGGAAGGCGGUGAGGUUAAUAACCUCAUCGAUUGACGUUACCCGCAGAAGAAGCACCGGCUAACUCCGUGCCAGCAGCCGCGGUAAUACGGAGGGUGCAAGCGUUAAUCGGAAUUACUGGGCGUAAAGCGCACGCAGGCGGUCUGUCAAGUCGGAUGUGAAAUCCCCGGGCUCAACCUGGGAACUGCAUUCGAAACUGGCAGGCUAGGGUCUUGUAGAGGGGGGUAGAAUCCCAGGUGUAGCGGGGAAUGCGUAGAGAUCUGGAGGAAUACCGGUGGCGAAGGCGGCCCCCUGGACAAAGACUGACGCUCAGGUGCGAAAGCGUGGGGAGCAAACAGGAUUAGAUACCCGUGUAGUC